rnacentral:lncRNA from 1 species
GAAAUAAAGUUGAAUUACUUGAAUUUUACACAGGAGUUAAAUGAAAACUUAGACAAAAAUAAAGAAUGUUUUAAAGCAUUAAUGUUUUAACUGAUCUUUCAAACUAGAACAUAGGCGGAUCCAGCCCCCCUUUUUUUGUGGAAAAAAUUUGGUUGAUAAUAAAGGGAAUCAUUGAAGCAUGACUGGAGCGGGCCCCCUCUUAGGUCAGUCAGCGGGCUCCCCUUAGGAAAA